UCCUCCCCCUGCACCUGUCUCCCGCCGCGCCCCGACUCGCCGGCAGCUCCCGGGGCGCGGAGCCGGAGCCCGAGCCCGAACCCGCCAUGGGCCACCUGCGGGGCGGGUUGCGCUGCAUCAAGUUCCUGCUCUUCGCCUUCAACUUCGUCUUCUGGCUGGCAGGGUUGGCUGUCAUUGCCUUUGGACUAUGGCUGCGAUUUGGUGGGGUCCUGGGAGACUUAACUUCGGAGGAAAAAUCCCCAGAGUACUUCUACAUGGGGCUGUAUGUGCUUGUGGGAGCAGGGGCGUUGAUGACGACAGUUGGAUUUUUUGGGUGCUGUGGAGCAGUGCGGGAGUCUCAGUGCCUGCUUGGAGCGUUUUUUGCCUGCUUGCUGGUGAUAUUUGCUGCUGAAGUCACCGCUGGAGUGUUUGCAUUUAUAGGCAAAAAAGUGGCAGUACAGGAGGUCCAGGCCAUCUAUGAAGAAGCUUAUGAUGACUAUGUGAUGGACAUGGGGAAAAGCAACAAAACUCUCAUUCAGUUCCACACAGCUCUUCAGUGCUGUGGUAAAGAAAGUGAGAUUCCGGUGAAGCCCACGUGUCCAGAGGGCAUCCAGGUGCCCAAGAACUGCCUGCAUGAAAUCCAGAAUUUAAUUAACUCUAAUCUGCAUUUAGUUGGAAUCGUUGGAAUUGCAAUUGCUGGUAUCACUAUCUUUGGCAUGAUAUUCAGCAUGGUUCUCUGCUGUGCUAUCCGCAAUACAAGAGACAUGCUCUAAAACUCACUGCACAAUUUCUACGCUCCGGGACUUCCAGGCUAAACUUGGCAAGAUGCAUCCUCUGAGUUUAAUAAUUGUAAUACAUUUUUGAUUAGUGUUUUAACCAACUGAGAGGAAAAGGCCCCAUUUGGCAGCAUUUGAAUGGCCAUUGAUAUCCUAAGGCAGCUGUGUUCCACUAAAAGUAAAGCAGCUGGGCAUGCAACACACGGCCACGCCAGGAAUUUCUGGGCUUGGCCUCAGGCUUCCCAAGCCAACGUGGAGACAAUGUGGCUGGCUCCAAGGAAGAGAGCUAGGUUUGCAUCCUUCUGCAGUGACCUCACUGGAGGAGAGUCCUGUGGAAACACCUUGUGUAACGAUAGGGACUGAGGAGGUUACUGCAUGAGCCCAAGUCCAGAUCUUCAGGGCCUGACAAAGUAGUUCACUUUUAGGAGAGAGUAUGAGUCUCUAGACAAGGCAGAGAGCCCUUGGCAGUUAUGUGGAGCUGGGGAAUACCCUAUAAAGAGAAGGCUGGCAAAAAAUAGACAUUGCUAUACAGAAGCAGUUUUCUUAGCCUUUGCCGGUCAAAUGAAAAGGUCUUUGCAGACCAGCAGGCUGUAAAUAACACAUUAGGCAGACAUGAUGGCAUUAUUGAUCUUUUAUGAACUAAGACCUAACCUUAUUGGCACUGUCCAUUGCUGGCCUUACCGGGUCUCGUGCUCUGGAUAAUACAGAUAACUGUAAUGCUCACUGCAUUCCAUGCGGGAGGGCAUUUACUGUAUAGGCAGAUCCAUCUCUCUCACGCACACUCUGGAAUGAGUUUUUUUUUUUUUUUAAAAAACACACACACACCCUUGCCAUUUAAAAAAAAAAUUACUGUAUCUUGUUUGGCACCAGAACAGUAAUAAAUAGCCAGAGUUUGCUUCCUUUUUCACUUACAGCAACAUGGAGUCAGUCUGGAGAUGCCCACUUCUGCUUUUGAGAUGCACCAGGUCAAGGACUGGUGCUUGCAGAAACCUUUCUUGCUUGUUUACCUCUAAGUGCCUUUUAGAAACAGAGAAGAGUGCCAGUAAGAAACUGUAUUUCAAUAAAUUCAGACUUGAAUCACCUUGCUUUCUAAUGAAAUCAUUUUUUUCUAUACAAUGUGUUCAUAUUUAUAUGCAUAACAGUUAGGUGUACUCUGGGUUCCAGUGCUAUCCCGGAAUAUUGGAUAUGCACUUUGUACUGAAGAUCAGGAACAUAAUGAUACCAGUUAUUGGUUUAAUUCUCUGGAUUAUGAUUGUGCAUCAGGCCAGGAAGCAGCAUAUUUAAAAUGUCUGUCAGUGGCUUUAACAGUGUGGUCUUUCCAUCUCGCCAUUUCAUGCUGUUGUUUUGUAGACAAAAUAUCACUGAAUUAGUGAGUUUCCUCUAUCCUGUAUUAGCAUUUGAAGGACAUUUUACUCUUAGCCAGUGGUUACUAGCAAUAGAAGGUGAAAUUACUAUUCUCUUUGCCCCUUAUAAUAAUUAUUAUGAUUCUUCUGUAGUGCUUUACAAGCAAUAACUAAUUAGACCCUUCCUUGGCAUUUCUGUGGUUAGAUUGAGCAAUCCUGCUUAUAGUUCAGUUGCGGUUGAGCUAUAAAUCCAACCCUGACAUCUGGGAAGAAAAGUACCCCCAGUUUCUGUGGAAAUAUUCCCCAUUCAUUGUGCUGCUUCCUCUUUGGUUUAAAUCUGGCACUCUCAUUUUAUUCCCAAGCUCUGCACUUCUGCCAGAUGGCACAGCACUCUUCCCAACAUGCUCCAUCUAGCUGUGAUAAGGAAACUUUCUAUGGCAUAUGAAUCCAAACCACCAAAAAAUAUAGUCUGUGCUAGAAAAUCAGCACAUCAGGAUUGAAUUCACUCAACCCAAUUCUGUCCUCAGAUACGUACAUGCAUGAGAACAUCCAAUGCGCCGAUAAGAUCAGGGCUCCUGCUAGACCAGUAUCCUGUCUCUGACAGUGGCCAGUACCAGCUGCUUCAGAGGAAGCUGCCAGAAACAUCUGUAGCAAGCAGCAGCCAGUAGGGGAAGUUUCUUCCUAUUCCCAUCAAUUGGCUUAUUAUUCUCAUUAUUCAUAUAAUUGUCUAACAUUUUUUUAUUGUACUGAGCUCCUGAAAUUCUCAUUGACCUCUGUAGGAGCCACAUGUGCAUAUUUGAGGGCAGAAUUUGACUAGUUUUAGAAGCCUUCUGGGGCCAAGCAGGAUCUGAGUGGAGUAGAUCCCUGGAAUAUCCACACAAUAAAGAGCUGUUUCAUUUCCAAUCGUCCCACUAGAAACAAGUGGGAUUGUUUCAAGGUAAAAUAUAUUCUAUCCCUACUGAAAAAGAAACAGAGCUGUUAUCUGAACCCUUUUAAACCCACUUUUUGUGAUCUUUUGGAGACUAACUCCUUUAAAUUCUUAUUAAAUGUACAUUAUAAACACAGCUCACCAUCAAAUCCGUUCCCCUUCUACAUUGGUGUAUUACAAUGCUCCUGUCCUGACCUCCCUGCUAGACCAGGAUUGUCUGAGCCACCCGUUUCCAAUAUCAAAUGCUUCUUCCUGUAUUCCAAGUGCUAACAUCAGGCAGGACUGGGACAUCAUGUGAUUGUUGUAGGGCCUGUGAGAGCAAGAGCAUUUGUCUGUAUGAGAGUUCCCCUGAGUUGUAAAUGUUGGUCAGGUGAUUGUGCUGUUGCUGAAACUAGUUUUCAUUUGACAUGUUCUGAACUGGCUUUUAUUGACUUUUCUGUACUGAAUUUAAAGGUUCUAAUAAACGAUAACCUGAAAUAAGAGAAGUGGAGGAAACAA